GACGAACGCUGGCGGCGUGCUUAACACAUGCAAGUCGAACGAUGACGACCGAGCUUGCUCGGUCUGAUUAGUGGCGAACGGGUGAGUAACACGUGAGCAACCUGCCCUUCACUCUGGGAUAACCUCGGGAAAUCGGGGCUAAUACCGGAUAUGAGCUCCUGUCGCAUGGCGGGUGUUGGAAAGUUUUUCGGUGCAGGAUGGGCUCGCGGCCUAUCAGUUUGUUGGUGAGGUAGUGGCUCACCAAGGCGAGGACGGGUAGCCGGCCUGAGAGGGCGACCGGCCACACUGGGACUGAGACACGGCCCAGACGCCUACGGGAGGCAGCAGUGGGGAAUAUUGCAAAAUGGGCGAAAGCCGGAUGCAGCGACGCCGCGUGAGGGAUGACGGCCUUCGGGUUGUAAACCUCUUUCAGCGGGGAAGAAGCGAAAGUGACGGUACCUGCAGAAGAAGCGCCGGCUAACUACGU
rnacentral:rRNA from 1 species